rnacentral:misc_RNA from 1 species
AACGCACAUUGCGCUUCCUGGUAUUCCGGGGAGCAUGCCCGUUUCAGAAUCAUUUAAAACUAUCUUGAUAUGUUGUGUCUGGUAUAUUUUUUUAUGCCGGACAUGCCAUGUUGAGGAUGUUGAGUAGUUUUUGCUGGCUCUAAGCUUCCAAUAACUCAUAAAUGAUUGUAUGUAUCGCUGCAAUGAAAUUUGUUUGCGGAUUAAGUGCAACAGAGUAUAUCUAUUCGCUUAGACUGCUUUCAAAUGGUAGUUGCCGAAGCAUAUUCUAAGAUAAUACCAGUAAUUUGUACAAUAGUGCGAUUGCUGAUAACUUGGUCUGAAAUCGGGCAAGAAAACCCGCUGAACUUAA